AGCCGGGAACUAGAUUGACAGGGCAGUGAUCCUUUGAUAAGCUUCGUAACUGCUUCUCAACUGUCGUUGAGACUGCAACGGCUCAGAGAGGUGGCUUUGGAUAUGAGUUUCUUUUGGCCACAAUCAUGAUCUAGUGACUGAAAGCGAAAGAAUUUCACCUAUUCCUAAGUGUAGACAAGACAUUGGAAAGAAUGUGAAUCAGUCAUCAGGAGUAGAAAAUACAGCUUCAGCAGUGUGUACCUGGUGUACAUGACUGAUUUGCUUUGAAGUGAGGGAAACAGCUUAUUCCAGACUGUCCUUUGGAGGAGGCUGGAUGAGUUGGCUUGGCUCCACAUGGGAGAGGGGGUGCCAUCAUCCCCAGUGGUCAACACAAGAAUGCUUCCAUGAUCACUAGUGCUUGUUUUGGCCAGCAGUAUUUUCUGAAAGAUCGUUGCUCCUGGAAUAUGAUGAAAAGGUUUACUAUCCAAAGUGUAAGAAGUUUGAGAAGGUUCAAAGGAAAGAAACACCAAAGGCGACUUAGGAAGAAAGAUAAUUUGCUGGAGUAGACAGUACUGGCCUGGGAUUCAGGUAAGAGCCAAUAUUGGUCUUGACUCUGAACUUAGGUGGUUACUUUCUUAAAGCCAGCCAUUGAAUUUCUCAGAGGCUCAGGUUCUUUAUUUGUACCUGGGAACAAUAUCCCUUCUGCCUGUUUACAGUAGAGUCAAAUGAAAUUGUAUAUGAAAUAAUACUUAUAAGCUAUAAAGUAUUAUGCAAAUACAAUGCAACUUUAAACAACUUAAGGGAACCACAUUAAACUAGACUGUUGAAUGUUUCUUAAAAAAAAUAUCUUGAGUGUUUUAUUUCACCAAAUUUAUGUUUUUACUCAGCAGACUUAGAAUUGACAAAAAUGGGAUUUAGGUAAGAAAUUAGUUUCUUCUAUCUUGAGAUAGGGAAAUGUUGCAAUAAUUUAAAAGGCAAAGUUUCCUUUCCCCACUUUUGGGUAUAUUUAGAAGGAAAAGGCAGACAAGUAAUGUUUUGGAAAUGAAGAAUAGAUGGACCACCCAACCGCAAUGCAUGUGGGGAUAGAGCAAAACAACCCCUGACAAUCCCUUUCAGACACAAGACCAUGUGUGUAUGUCAUCAGGAUGCACUUCCUUGCUUUGGUUGUCUCUGUAGUGACUGCACCAAUCAACAUAUUGCUGAUUCUAAAUGUGGGGAAAAAGAAAGUAAAUUCCAAAUGACUUAUUUUCAUUGCUGUUCAUGUUUGCUGCCAGUGUUUGCCUCCAUGCUUGAAAACAUGAGCAAAGAUUUGUCUUUUUGAAGAGCUCUAUUUCUCAUGUUUAAAUAACUGAUGCCCUUAAGGGGAUUGAGAAGAGGUAGAGGAUGGCCUGGAUGCAAUCCAGGAAGAGAUGCAUUUGCUCAACAAAGCAAAAAAUGUUUAAAAUGAAAAGAAAGCAACUGUAAUUUGGCACUUGUUAUUGCUUACCUAUUUUUCUUGAGUUCAAUUAGCCACAAAGACAGACAGAUAUGUCUCAAGUUGACUUUAGGCAUUUGUCUUUUUAAGUGUUUGUAAAGCCCAGCUUUAUGUAAAUAUCAGUGUUAUUAAAAAUUUUUGGCUCUAAUAGUCAUUUUCUAUGGUAAUUUCUGUUAUAACUUUUUUAAAAAUGCAUGUAUUCUAUUCUAGGCCAAAUUUCUGAAAUAUCUGUCAGGAAGAAAAUGCUGUAGUAUAUGAUUUUUUUUUUUUGCCCUAUGAACUGAUUAUUUUUAGCAGCUUUUAUAAGCAUAAUAACAGUAAUUUUAGCAGCUAAUUUACCUAAAAUCAUUUUGUUCCAAAACCUGAAAGCCCCCAAAUCAAAGGGUUCUCUUUGUCUAAAAAAAUUAAAUCAAAAUAAAUGUUUCUGGUUUGUUUUAAGAGGAAAAAUUAGGGUUUCUUAAUGCUCAAAUAUUUAGUAAGCUCUCAAGGAGGUGUAGGGGGAAGCAAUCUGCCUGUCAUAGGAGAGGAAAAAAAUUAAAUAGCAGAAUUUUUAAAUCGUAUCUCUUGACACCAAUAAAUAACAAGAAAGAACUAGCACCAUUUUUUAACAUGCAUGCAUACAAUACAAUAAGCAAAUCUGACUCAUCUGCCAACCUGAUUGCUUUGUUUAGAAUUCCACUGUCAGAAGUAAGGUGGGGAG